GAUGAAGAACGUAGCGAAAUGCGAUAAGUAAUGCGAAUUGCAGAAUUCAGUGAGUCAUCGAAUCUUUGAACGCACAUUGCGCCCUGUGGUAUUCCGCAGGGCAUGCCUGUUCGAGCGUCAUUUCAACCAUCAAGCCCCCGGGCUUGUGUUGGGGACCUGCGGCUGCCCGCAGGCCCUGAAAACCAGUGGCGGGCUCGCUGUCACUCCGAGCGUAGUAGUAUCACCUCGCUCAGGGCGUGCUGCGGGUUCCGGCCGUUAAACCACCCAUUACCCCAAGGUUGACCUCGGAUCAGGUAGGAAUACCCGCUGAACUUAAGCAUAUCAAUAAGCGGAGGA
rnacentral:misc_RNA from 1 species